GUGGCGAACGGGUGAGUAACACGUGAGCAACCUACCCUUGACUCUGGGAUAACUCCGGGAAACCGGUGCUAAUACCGGAUAUGAGCAUUGGCCACAUGGUCUGGUGCUGGAAAGAAUUUUGGUCAGGGAUGGGCUCGCGGCCUAUCAGCUCGUUGGUGAGGUAAUGGCUCACCAAGGCGACGACGGGUAGCCGGCCUGAGAGGGCGACCGGCCACACUGGGACUGAGACACGGCCCAGACUCCUACGGGAGGCAGCAGUGGGGAAUAUUGCACAAUGGGCGAAAGCCUGAUGCAGCGACGCCGCGUGAGGGAUGACGGCCUUCGGGUUGUAAACCUCUUUCAGCAGGGAAGAAGCGAAAGUGACGGUACCUGCAGAAGAAGCACCGGCUAACUACGUGCCAGCAGCCGCGGUAAUACGUAGGGUGCAAGCGUUGUCCGGAAUUAUUGGGCGUAAAGAGCUCGUAGGUGGUUCGUCGCGUCUGCUGUGAAAGUCCGAGGCUUAACCUCGGAUCUGCAGUGGGUACGGGCGGACUAGAGUGCGGUAGAGGAGAUCGGAAUUCCUGGUGUAGCGGUGGAAU
rnacentral:rRNA from 1 species